rnacentral:rRNA from 1 species
GACGAACGCUGGCGGCGUGCUUAACACAUGCAAGUCGAACGCUGAAGACCUGGCUUUUGUUGGGUUGGAUGAGUGGCGAACGGGUGAGUAACACGUGAGUAACCUGCCCUCUUCUUUGGGAUAACGCCCGGAAACGGGUGCUAAUACUGGAUAUUCACUGCUCUUCGCAUGGGGGUUGGUGGAAAGGUUUGUUCUGGUGGGGGAUGGGCUCGCGGCCUAUCAGCUUGUUGGUGGGGUGAUGGCCUACCAAGGCUUUGACGGGUAGCCGGCCUGAGAGGGUGACCGGGCACAUUGGGCAUGGGAUACGGCCCAGACUCCGACGGGAGGCAGCAGUGGGGAAUAGUGCACAAUGGGCGAAAGCAUGAUGCAGCGACGCCGCGUGAGGGAUGGAGGCCUUCGGGUUGUAAACCUCUUUCGCUCAUGGUCAAGCCGCAACUGUGGGUUGUGGUGAGGGUAGUGGGUAAAGAAGCGCCGGCUAACUACGUG